GUUAUACACAUUUUACAGAAAAUGUCAGCAUGUUUUCAUUAAACAAAUAAAUAAAUUAAAGCAGAAAUAUUUAAGAUUUAUAAUAUUUACAAGCUAGUUUUUAUCAGUUAGAUGUUGAUAAAGAGUUUACCACUCCAGAUAAAUUAAUCCUCCUCUUAUCCUUCAGUGUUUAGCCUAGCUUAGUGUAAAGCUCCUCUGUUUGGCCUUUCAGGUGGGGAGUAGCUGCUGAAUAAAUGAUUUUCUCUGGCUAGGUGAGGCUAAGCUUCUUCAGGUCAAUUUGCAUUGAUACUGUUGAAAAGUUGGAUCAAGAUUUCAGUUUAUUUAUAAAUUAACUGAAUUGCAAGUCAGUUCAGCAGCUUCAAUAGCGAUCCAACAAAUAAAAUGCCACCUCUACUGUCAAUGCUAAGCUAGGCUAAGCUAAACGAAGUUAAGCUAAUUAAUCCUGUUUUUGAGGUUUUAUUUUAACUCUUGUUCAGUAAAUAAAGUUUAAAUGGUUGAGUGAGUGAAGCUGACUAUGUUAUGACAUUUUUCAGUUUUUUACAACAUUUAUGUGUGUGCUAAAAGGAAAACGUGGUUUUCUUCUCUAUUAAAAGGAUUUUCUUUUUCCAUACUGGUCAGUAAAUCAAGGAAACAUAGACUUAAAAGAAAAAUUUUCAUCCCCAAGACAGAUAAGGCUUCAUCUGGUUAAAAGAGGUCAAUGUUCAUUUUAGUAAAACAAACAAACCUAAACAGAGUAAAGCCACUUAUUGCAGAAAACGUCACACUAUCGUGUUUUUAUUAGAAUAGAUGAAAAAAAAAGGACAGCAGGAAUAUUUAAGAUAAAUUGUAUUUACAAGCUAGUUUUUAAUAAGUUCCUUGUCAAUAAAGAGUGUAACACUCCAGAUAAAUGAAUCCUCCUGUCCUUCAGUAUUUAGCCUAGCUUAGCAGGACGCUCAUUCUAGAUUUUCCUGUGGACAUUAGCUCCUGAAUAAGUUACGAUCUCUGGCUAGCUGAUGCUAUGGCUCUUCAGUCAAAUCUUUAUUGUCAUUGGAGAAAACAAGUAUUUUUUCUUUAUUAACACAGAUUAAUAUUUCAGUUUAUGUAUAAAACUGAACUAUAAGUCAGUGUACCAGCUCCAAUAGUGAUCCAGCAAAAGAAAUGUUACCCUCACGUCAAUGCUAAGCUAAGCUAAAUCUGAAAAAGUUUCCUGUUUUUUUUUCUUUUCUUUUUUUAUGUUUCAGCCAAUUUUAACUCUUGUAAAUAAAGUUUAAAUGAUUUAGGGAGUGAAGCUGACUAUGAUGACGUGUAUCUGGAGAGGCAAACAAAGUUUUAAACUUUUAUAACAUUUUUAAUAUUUAUCAGUGUGCUAAAGAAGGCAUUUGUUUUUCUUCAUCAAGUAAUAGAUUUUUUUAAAUUAACUGAACAGUGAAAAGAGGAGACGCAGACUGAGAAAAAACAAACUUUCCAAUCUCUCAGAAAGACUCCAUCUGGUUAAAAAAUAUAAAAAUUCAUCUCAGUAAAAGUAAUAAAUAAACCCAAGAACAAUUAUCAUGAAGCCACUGAUGGCAGAAUAAACAGACAUUGUCCAUCCUUCUGCGUGUAAACAAGUUCAAAUCAAACUGGUCCAGGAUGGUGUGAUGCUCAGCUCCGUCUUCUCCAAGGAAGGAGUUUGCAUGUGUGGAUUCUCUC